rnacentral:rRNA from 1 species
AACGAACGCUGGCGGCAUGCCUAACACAUGCAAGUCGAACGAGACCUUCGGGUCUAGUGGCGCACGGGUGCGUAACGCGUGGGAACCUGCCCUUAGGUUCGGAAUAACUCCCCGAAAGGGGUGCUAAUACCGGAUAAUGUCUUCGGACCAAAGAUUUAUCGCCUUUGGAUGGGCCCGCGUUGGAUUAGCUAGUUGGUAGGGUAAAAGCCUACCAAGGCGACGAUCCAUAGCUGGUCUGUGAGGAUGAUCAGCCACACUGGGACUGGGACACGGCCCCGACUCCUGCGGGCGGCAGCAGUGGGGACUAUUGGACAGGGGGCGAAAGCCUGAUCCAGCACUGCCGCGUGGGUGAUGAAGGCCUUAUGGUUGUAAAGCUCUUUUACCCGGGAUGAUAAUGCCGGUACCGGGAGAAUAGGCUCCGGCUACCUCCGU